rnacentral:antisense_RNA from 1 species
CUUCACCGACCCCAGCCACAGCGGCCGUUCGCGGUCCCGGCCGUAGGUCGCGAGCAGGGCCUGUGCCUC